rnacentral:piRNA from 1 species
ACGAGGUGAAGCUGGAGUAUCACCAAGAU